rnacentral:rRNA from 1 species
GAUAUAUGGAGGAAUACCAGUGGCGAAGGCGGCCUCCUGGCUCGAUACUGACGCUGAGGUGCGAAAGCGUGGGGAUCAAACAGGAUUAGAUACCCUGGUAGUCCACGCCGUAAACGAUGUCUACUAGCCGUUGGGAGACUUGAUUUCUUAGUGGCGCAGCUAACGCAAUAAGUAGACCGCCUGGGGAGUACGGCCGCAAGGUUAAAACUCAAAUGAAUUGACGGGGGCCCGCACAAGCGGUGGAGCAUGUGGUUUAAUUCGAUGCAACGCGAAGAACCUUACCAGGUCUUGACAUCCUGCGAAUUUUCUAGAGAUAGAUUAGUGCCUUCGGGAACGCAGUGACAGGUGCUGCAUGGCUGUCGUCAGCUCGUGUCGUGAGAUGUUGGGUUAAGUCCCGUAACGAGCGCAACCCUUGUCCUUAGUUGCCAGCACAUAAUGGUGGGAACUCUAAGGAGACUGCCGGUGACAAACCGGAGGAAGGUGGGGACGACGUCAAGUCAUCAUGGCCCUUACGACCUGGGCUACACACGUGCUACAAUGGAACGCACAGAGGGCUGCAAAGGCGCGAGCUGGAGCGAAUCCCACAAAACGUUUCGUAGUCCGGAUUGGAGUCUGCAACUCGACUCCAUGAAGUCGGAAUCGCUAGUAAUCGUGAAUCAGAAUGUCACGGUGAAUACGUUCCCGGGCCUUGUACACACCGCCCGUCACACCAUGGGAGUGGGUUGCAAAAGAAGUGGGUAGACUAACCUUCGGGAGGUCGCUCACCACUUUGUGAUUCAUGACUGGGGUGAAGUCGUAACAAGGUAACCGUA